AACGAACGCUGGCGGCAGGCUUAACACAUGCAAGUCGAACGCAUCCUUCGGGGUGAGUGGCAGACGGGUGAGUAACGCGUGGGAACGUGCCCUUCAGUUCGGGAUAACCCAGGGAAACUUGGGCUAAUACCGGAUACGUGCGAGAGCAGAAAGAUUUAUCGCUGAAGGAUCGGCCCGCGUCUGAUUAGCUAGUUGGUGGGGUAAUGGCCCACCAAGGCGACGAUCAGUAGCUGGCCUGAGAGGAUGAUCAGCCACAUUGGGUCUGAGACACGGCCCAAACUCCUACGGGAGGCAGCAGUGUGGAAUAUUGGACAAUGGGCGCAUGCUUGAUCCAGCCAUGCCGCGUGAGUGAUGAAGGCCUUAGGGUUGUAAAGCUCUUUCGUCCGGGACGAUAAUGACGGUACCGGAAGAAGAAGCCCCGGCUAACUUCGUGCCAGCAGCCGCAGUAA
rnacentral:rRNA from 1 species